rnacentral:tRNA from 1 species
GGGGGCGUAGCUCAGCUGGGAGAGCGCUACAAUCGCACUGUAGAGGUCAGGGGUUCGAAUCCCCUCGCCUCCACCC